CAGUGAAUCACAGUGAGACACUGGCAGCAGGCACCACGGAAGGGACCCUCAAAUCUGAAGGCUCAAGGUCCUGGGAAAAGAUGAAGUGGAGCAUGCCUCUUGUUUCCUCCUAUUAGAUGCUGAGUGUUGGAAGUUCUUCCUAGGAUUCACAAAGAAACUCCUGCUCUUCUUCCACAUACUUUUUCCUGGGAAAGAAAACUUGUUUCACUGGCAGAAAAGAUCCCCACUGUUAAAGUGAGGGAAAUAGAAUUAAGCCUGGAAGAAAGUUCAUAAAGAAGAUUCUUGCUUCCUCUUUACGCGUCCGCCAUGAUUGUAAGUUUCCUGAGGCUUCCCCAGCCAUGCUGAACUGGAUGAGGUUUUGCCAUGUUACCCAGGCUGGUCUUCAACUCCUGGACUCAAGCGAUCCACCUGCCUCGGCCUCCUAAAGUGCUGGGAUUUCAGGUGUGAGCCACUGUGCCCAGCCCGAAGAAGCUUUAUCUGAUCUGAACCUGAUUUAGAUAAGGAGGUCCUGGACUUUGUUCCAAUGCUGCAGAGAGUGAGACUUCUG
rnacentral:lncRNA from 1 species